ACAUCGCCUCUUGCACAUAUAAGAGGUCCCGCCUGCCCCGUGACACCCAAGUUUAACGGCCGCGGUAUCCUGACCGUGCAAAGGUAGCGCAAUCACUUGUCUUUUAAAUGAAGACCUGUAUGAAUGGCAUAACGAAGGCUUAACUGUCUCCUUUCUCAAGUCAAUGAAAUUGAUCUCCCCGUGCAGAAGCGGGGAUGACCUCAUAAGACGAGAAGACCCUGUGGAGCUUCAGACACAAAGCAGACCUAGCAAACACUCACACAACCCAAGCUAAAAGAAUCCUGCCCUAAUGUCUUCGGUUGGGGCGACCACGGAGAAACAAACAACCCCCGCGCAGAAUAAGAGAACUCUUAAAAAUGAGAGUCACCACUCCAAAAAACAGAACUUCUGACUACAAGAUCCGGCAACACCGAUCAACGAACCAAGUUACCCCAGGGAUAACAGCGCAAUCCCCUUCAAGAGCCCAUAUCGACAAGGGGGUUUACGACCUCGAUGUUGGAUCAGGACAUCCUAAUGGUGCAG
rnacentral:rRNA from 1 species